UACGACUACAUAUCAGGCAUAUCAAUAAGCGGAGGAAAAGAAACUAACAAGGAUUCCCUUAGUAACGGCGAGUGAAGCGGGAAGAGCUCAAAUUUGAAAUCUUCAAGGUUCUACCUUGACGAAUUGUAGUUUAAAGAAGUGUUUUCUGUUAGAUGAGUAGCAAAAGUUCCUUGGAAUGGGACAUCAUAGAGGGUGAGAAUCCCGUAUUUGGUUAUUCAUUCUAGCUUUGUGAUACACUUUCAAAGAGUCGGAUUGUUUGGGAAUGCAGUCCAAAAUGGGUGGUAAAUUUCAUCUAAAGCUAAAUACUGGCGAGAGACCGAUAGCGAACAAGUACCGUGAGGGAAAGAUGAAAAGAACUUUGAAAAGAGAGUUAAACAGUACGUGAAAUUGUCAAAAGGGAAGCGUUUGACACCAGUGUUGUUUUUCCGAAAAUCAAUUACGAAUGGCUUGAUUUUGUGUUGUAUCGACCUUAUCAGCUUUCUUCACUUUUUUCGAGUCUUUCUUAAUGCACUUUUCGGUUAACAAGUCAACAUCAAUUUCUUUUGUUGUAAAAGAGUAUUCGGAAGGUGGCUUUCUUUUCGGAGAAAGUGUUUAUAGCCCUAUACUUCUACAAUCGGAGAGAUUGAGGUCUGCAGCGUAGAUCCUUCGGGGUUAGAUACACUUGUGCUAAGUUGUAGCUUUUCAUAGACAACUUGUUGACUAUGUUUAGUCAUGCGGCUUACUCGCUUGUGCUAUUUUACCUACGCUUAGGAUGUUGAGUAGCGACAUACGCAC
rnacentral:rRNA from 1 species